UGCUACAGAGGGUGUCUCCACAAGGUUAAUUAGUAGUGGGUCCCCUGUGGUUACCAAAGCGAUGAGGGCUUCAGAUAGUGGAGGAUACCUCCACACAACACUGGAAAACAAGCUCCUCAUUCUUCAUGCUAUCCCCUGCAGAGAGGGGGAUAACAAGAAUCCAGCUGCUUCUCUGAGGUCACAAGCAGAACUGCAGCUGAUGUGGCAGAGGUUUGUAAGGAAAUGAAAAGGAGAAGAAGAGCAGCUAAGAGUUUUAAAGUUUGACCCAGCCCCCUUUUGGAGAUGAAUGUAGCACGGCGUGCAGCAAGGAGCUUGAGAGGGAGUUUGGCUUUCUGACUCUCAUAUGCACAUCUAAGCUCUUUUCAGUCUCUGUCAGCCUGGCAGUCAGUGCAUACAGCAGGUGCUGUGUUUAGUAUUAGUUAUGAGAUUCCAGCUCCCCAGUGCAGUGAAGCAUGCAGUGUCUGAUAUUCAAGACUGAAAUAAAACGGGGGUUGCCUUUGAAGCAGAA